rnacentral:lncRNA from 1 species
GAGAAGAUAGCUUACUAAGUCAUAAAAACUCCAAUGUUCAGGAUGCUGCUGCAAACAGUGCUAUAUUAAAUGAGAAUAAUGUGCCUUUCCCUGAAGAUUCUCUUGCUCUGAUGCAUACCACACCUGCAACAAAUGGUUCUGUUCUUAAGGAUGCUACAGAUGAAUUGGAUGCGUUACUUUUAUCUCUAACUGAGAAUCUGAUGGACCACACAGUCACACCUCAGGUAAGUAUG